rnacentral:tRNA from 1 species
CCCCCGGCAGCUCGACGGACCGAGCGGCCGCCUUCUAAGCGGACGGGUGCCAGUUCGACUCUGGUCCGGGGGAC